GCCACGGUGGUCUAGCGGUUAGAACGCCGGCCUUGUAAUCCUGGGGUCUCGGGUUCGAUUCCCGGCAGUGCCC
rfam:Zootermopsis nevadensis contig12523, whole genome shotgun sequence.